AACGAGUAGUAAUUCUCGAAGGCGAGCCCCCGUCCCGCGCGGUCACCACCAGCUCAUAGACCGACAGGCUCUCGCGAUCCAGGGCGCUGUCCAACACCAACGAGUAGUAAUUCUUGAAGGUGGACACCAGCUUGAAGGGGACGUGGGGCAUUAAGGAGCAAGUCACCUGCCCGUUGGCACCUGAGUCACGGUCAGACACGGUGAUGAGGGCGAUGACGGUGCUGAGUGGAGCGUCCUCUCUGAUAGGCAAAUACAAUGAAGUGACCGCCAGUUCUGGAGCAUUAUCAUUUACAUCCAGCACUUUCACCAAAACCUUACAGUGAUUUGACAUCGGAGGACUUCCUUUAUCAACUGCCUUUACUUGAAUUUCGUAGGAUUUUGUUUCUUCAUAAUCCAGUUUAUCAAUUAACCUAAUUUCUCCUGAGCUGGAAUCAACUUUGAAUUUUUCUUGAAUGUCACGAGAAAUACCACUGUCAAAGGAAAAGACGACUUCACCAUUUACACCUUCGUCAGCAUCAGAGGCAUUUAAUGUGGUCACUAAUGUUCCAUUUGCUGUAGUCUCUAACAAGUGGACUCUGUAUACGGCCUGGUCAAACAGUGGGGCGUUAUCAUUAACGUCGAGGACGGUGAUCAGCAGCUCAACUGUACCUUGCAGCUCCGGUUUGCCCCCAUCAGUGGCAGUCAGUAAUAAGUGAAGUUCUGGUGUUUCUUCUCUAUCCAAAUAUUUUCUCAAUUCAAGCCAAAGAGAUUUACUCAGUUCAUCACUUGCCUCUACAUCCAAAGAGAAAUAAUCACUCGGGCUGAGCGUGUACGUUAGAAGAGCGUUAGCACCAAUGUCUGCAUCAGCAGCUCCUUCUAUCGGAAAACGCGAAUUCAGGAGUCUAGAUUCAGGAAUAAAUAUUAUUUGUUCUCUGCCCCUGAAGACGGGUGGAUUAUCGUUAAUGUCUUUCACCUUCACCUCCACAUGGAAAACCUGCAGCGGCCUGUCGGCGAUCAACUCCAGGUGGAUGCUGCACUCCGCGCUCCACUGGCACAGCUCCUCGCGAUCGAUCCGAGAAUUCACAAACAAAAUGCCAUUCUGCAGAUUUACCUCCAGAAGGUCCCUGUGUGUUUUGGACGCCACCCGGAACAGGCGAGGCACCAGCUCCGCCAGCUCCAGUCCCAGGUCCUGAGCAACGCGGCCAACGAAGGUGCCGUGUUUGGCUUCCUCCGGGAUCGAGUAGUGGAGCUGGCCGCUCCCCACCUCCCAGGCUGCGAGGAGCAGAAGCCAAAGAAGCAGAUCCCGGGCUCCCAGGCCCCCUCUCCUAGAAAACACCAUUGCAAAAGGACUACACCUUUCUUAUGCUCUCCUCUUACUUCAAAAUCAUGCCAUUUUAUCUAAUAUUUCCAAUCAUUUAUCUCUUUACCGUUUCUGUCUUCUCUCAGGCGGUGACAAAAUGGAGCUUCCUCCUUCACUUUUAGUGAUCAGUAGCUCCCUUCUAUUGACAAGACUUUGUGGUGUACAGCGACAUCAUGUGGCCAAUGUAAAUUUUAGAUCCAUUCGUUGAUUUUCAAAAUGCAAUCUAUAUCCGUCUGCAAUUUGUUAAAUGCAAUCAUUUUCAAUUUUAUGUCCUUUUAAGACCCAGAACAUUUCAAAUCUCAUUGGAGAGUGUGUAAUCCAGUAUUUUCUUUUAGUAAUGAUUACAAACAUAUUACAAUUGAAUUAGAAACUUUAAGAUCUACUUAACCUCUCCUUACAUCAUUUUAUUUAAAACGAUUUAUCAGCUUAUAUAUUUUUAUUAUUAAAUAUUUGCAACUGAAUGUCAAAGUUUUAAAAUAAGGUAGUUUGACUGAUAUGAUUCACCUUAUUCUAGGAUAGCUUGGGUGUUUUUUUUUAAAUGAUAUUAUACACACACACGUACAUAUGCACAUGUAUAUAUAGUUAUCAGGUACUUACAGAUGACAUUUUUGGAAAAUUUCUGAACACAUGUAAAAUUCCUUUAAUGUGGUAUGAACAACUUCAUCAUUUUCUGAUACUUUAACUGUUAGAAUAAAGAUAUUUGUGACAUUU
rnacentral:lncRNA from 1 species